GUGUAAUGCAAAAGCAAAUACAAACAUAUACUACUCAAACUCCCACUAACCCUGGGCGGCAGCAAUGGCUAUACUACACAUCUUCCCCAAUACAUACAAUAAAAACCAAUGAAACAAAAGUUACUAUCCCAAACCUCUAUGCACAUUUAAAUAAAUAGAGAAAAAUUCACAUAUGCAGAUAUUACUGACAAUAUGAUUAAACUGCUGCGUGUUUCUCUAUAUUAAAAAGCAUUAUUAUUUUAUUGUGGACUUGAAAUUAAUGUGUUUCAAUAAAUUGAAUAUUUU